rnacentral:rRNA from 1 species
AUUGAACGCUGGCGGCAGGCCUAACACAUGCAAGUCGAGCGGAUGAGCGGAGCUUGCUCCUGGAUUCAGCGGCGGACGGGUGAGUAAUGCCUAUGAAUCUGCCUGGCAGUGGGGGCUAACGUCCGGAAACGAGCGCUAAUACCGCCUACGUCCUGAGGGUGAACGUGGGGGAUCUUCGGACAUCACGCUAUCAUAUGAGCCUAGGUCGGAGUAGCUAGUUGGUGGGGUAAAGGCUUACCAAGCCGACGAUCCGUAACUGGUCUGAGAGGAUGAUCAGUCACCCUGGAACUGAGACACGGUCUAGGCUCCUACGGGAGGCAGCAGUGGGGAAUAGUGGACAAUGGGCGAAAGCCUGAUACAACCAUGGCGCGUGUGUGAAGAAGGUCUUCGGAUUGUAAAGAACUUUAAGUUGGGAGGAAGGGCAGUAAGUUAAUACCUUGCUGUUUUGACGUUACCAACAGAAUAAGCACCGGCUAACUACGUG